CUAUCGUUUCACGGUCGCUGAAAAAACAGCGAUCGGGUUUGGUAGCCCGGUAG
rnacentral:ncRNA from 1 species